rnacentral:rRNA from 1 species
UACGAAGGGGCUAGCGUUGCUCGGAAUCACUGGGCGUAAAGCGCACGUAGGCGGAUUGCUAAGUCAGGGGUGAAAUCCUGGAGCUCAACUCCAGAACUGCCUUUGAUACUGGCGACCUUGAGUCCGGGAGAGGUGAGUGGAACUGCGAGUGUAGAGGUGAAAUUCGUAGAUAUUCGGAAGAACACCAGUGGCGAAGGCGACACACUGGCCCGUUACUGACGCUGAGGCGCGAAAGCGUGGGGAGCAAACAGG